rnacentral:rRNA from 1 species
AUUGAACGCUGGCGGCAUGCCUUACACAUGCAAGUCGAACGGUAACGGGCCUUCGGGUGCCGACGAGUGGCGAACGGGUGAGUAAUGUAUCGGAACGUACCUUUCAGUGGGGGAUAACGUAGCGAAAGUUACGCUAAUACCGCAUAUUCUGUGAGCAGGAAAGUCAGGGGAUCGCAAGACCUUGCGCUGAUUGAGCGGCCGAUAUCAGAUUAGCUAGUUGGUGAGGUAAAGGCUCACCAAGGCGACGAUCUGUAGCGGGUCUGAGAGGAUGAUCCGCCACACUGGAACUGAGACACGGUCCAGACUCCUACGGGAGGCAGCAGUGGGGAAUUUUGGACAAUGGGGGCAACCCUGAUCCAGCCAUGCCGCGUGAGUGAAGAAGG